rnacentral:rRNA from 1 species
GUGAGGAAUAUUGGACAAUGGGCGCAAGCCUGAUCCAGCCAUGCCGCGUGCAGGAAGACGCAUCUAUGGUGUGUAAACUGCUUUUGUACGGGAAGAAACACUCCCUCGUGAGGGAGCUUGACGGUACCGUAAGAAUAAGGAUCGGCUAACUCCGUGCCAGCAGCCGCGGUAAUACGGAGGAUCCAAGCGUUAUCCGGAAUCAUUGGGUUUAAAGGGUCCGUAGGCGGUUUAAUAAGUCAGUGGUGAAAGCCCAUCGCUCAACGAUGGAACGGCCAUUGAUACUGUUAGACUUGAAUUACAAGGAAGUAACUAGAAUAAGUAGUGUAGCGGUGAAAUGCUUAGAUAUUACAUGGAAUACCAAUUGCGAAGGCAGGUUACUACUUGUGGAUUGACGCUGAUGGACGAAAGCGUGGGGAGCGAACAGGAUUAGAAACCCCGGUAGUCC